AAACAUGUCUUAAAGAUAAUAAUUUUAAGUCUAAUCUGCUCCAUGAUAUAUAAUAUUAAAUAGCUGCAGAAUUUUAACUGUACAAAGGUAGCAUAAUAAAUAGUUUUUUAAUUAAAAGCUGGAAUGAAUGAUUUAAUAAGGUAAAUAUUGUCUCAAAUUUAAUAUAAUUAUAAAUUUUUUUUUAGUAAAAAUACUAAAUUGAAUUUAAAAGACGAGAAGACCCUAUAGAUUUUUAUAUUUUAUAUUAAAUUAUUUUAAAUAUAUAAAUAAAAUUUAAUAAAUAAGUAUUAGGUUGGGGAAAUUAUUAAAUUAAAUAAAUUUUAAUGUUUUAUAAACAAUAAUUAUUGAAAAUUUGAUCUUUUUAUAGAAAAUGUAAGAAUAAAAUACCUUAGGGAUAACAGCGUAAUUUUUUUAGAGAGAUCUAAUUGAUAAAAAAGUUUGCGACCUCGAUGUUGAAUUAAGAUAAAAUUUUAAUGAAGAAGUUAAAAAUUUUUGGUCUGUUCGACCAUUAAAAUCUUACGUGAUCUGA
rnacentral:rRNA from 1 species